rnacentral:rRNA from 1 species
GACGAACGCUGGCGGCGUGCUUAACACAUGCAAGUCGAACGGAAAGGCCCUGCUUUUGUGGGGUGCUCGAGUGGCGAGCGGGUGAGUAACACGUGAGUAACCUGCCCUUGACCUUGGGAUAACUUCAGGAAACUGGGGCUAAUACCGGAUAGGAGCUCCUGCUGCAUGGUGGGGGUUGGAAAGUUUCGGCGGUUGGGGAUGGACUCGCGGCUUAUCAGCUUGUUGGUGGGGUAGUGGCUUACCAAGGCUUUGACGGGUAGCCGGCCUGAGAGGGUGACCGGCCACAUUGGGACUGAGAUACGGCCCAGACUCCUACGGGAGGCAGCAGUGGGGAAUAUUGCACAAUGGGCGGAAGCCUGAUGCAGCAACGCCGCGUGCGGGAUGACGGCCUUCGGGUUGUAAACCGCUUUCGCCUGUGACGAAGCGUGAGUGACGGUAAUGGGUAAAGAAGCACCGGCUAACUACGUG